rnacentral:rRNA from 1 species
GAUGAACGCUGGCGGCGUGCCUAAUACAUGCAAGUCGAGCGAACAGACGAGGAGCUUGCUCCUUCGACGUUAGCGGCGGACGGGUGAGUAACACGUAGGUAACCUACCUAUAAGACUGGGAUAACUUCGGGAAACCGGAGCUAAUACCGGAUAAUAUUUCGAACCGCAUGGUUCGAUAGUGAAAGAUGGCUUUGCUAUCACUUAUAGAUGGACCUGCGCCGCAUUAGCUAGUUGGUAAGGUAACGGCUUACCAAGGCAACGAUACGUAGCCGACCUGAGAGGGUGAUCGGCCACGCUGGAACUGAGACACGGUCCAGACUCCUACGGGAGGCAGCAGUAGGGAAUCUUCCGCAAUGGGCGAAAGCCUGACGGAGCAACGCCGCGUGAGUGAUGAAGGUCUUCGGAUCGUAAAACUCUGUUAUUAGGGAAGAACAAACGUGUAAGUAACUGUGCACGUCUUGACGGUACCUAAUCAGAAAGCCACGGCUAACUACGUG